rnacentral:misc_RNA from 1 species
UCGAGUUUGAAAGAGGCUUCGUAGCUGGCCCUCCGGGGCAUGUGCUCGGCCUUGCUCAUCCAUCUCACACCUGUGCACCUAUUGUGGGUAUACCGAGCCGGAAGGGGGUUGGAUAACGACCUCUGGAGGGUGCAUAUACUCAUGUUUUACACACUCUACAUAAAGUCUAGAAUGUCUACUUGCGAUAUAAUACGCAUAUAUA